GGUUCGAUGGUGUAGUUGGUUAUCACUUCUGUCUAACACAUUAUGGAACACGUGACAUGUGCUCUAUUAUAGCGUGGAACACAGGCGGUCCUCGGUUCGAACCCGGGUCGAAUCA